rnacentral:rRNA from 1 species
UACGUAGGGGGCAAGCGUUGUCCGGAUUUAUUGGGCGUAAAGAGCGUGUAGGCGGCCGUACAGGUCAGCUGUGAAAACUCGAGGCUCAACCUCGAGACGUCGGUUGAAACCGUACGGCUAGAGUCCGGAAGAGGAGAGUGGAAUUCCCGGUGUAGCGGUGAAAUUCGUAGAUAUUAGGAAGAACACCGGUGGCGAAGGCGGCCCACUGGUCCGGUACUGACGCUGAGGUGCGAAAGCGUGGGGAGCAAACAGG